GUCCACGCCGUAAACGAUGAUAACUAGCUGCCAGGGCUCUUAGAGCUUUGGUGGCGCAGCUAACGCAUUAAGUUAUCCGCCUGGGGAGUACGGUCGCAAGAUUAAACUCAAAGGAAUUGACGGGGCCCGCACAAGCGGUGGAGCAUGUGGUUUAAUUCGACGCAACGCGAAGAACCUUACCUGGGCUCGAACGGCUUUGGAUCAUCCUUGGAAACAGGGAUUUCCCGCAAGGGACCGGAGUCGAGGUGCUGCAUGGCUGUCGU
rnacentral:rRNA from 1 species